rnacentral:lncRNA from 1 species
CGCUGGCUAUUUAAACCCCCUACUCUUCCUUCGGAGCUCCAUCCUGCCGAAAGGACAGCAUCUUUCUUUCGUCUGAGAGCCUAACUACUCAGCCACUUCCUCCGCACCAGCCCUCGCUGUCUUCAGCCCCUCGAUUCUUCUCUAAGGGGUUCCCACGUCAUGCCCUCCACUCCGGAGGCCAUCCUCAAAGGGAUGUAUAGGGCCUGGAGGAAGGCGAGGAGGAGAACAGCGGCCGGUGAG